GGCCGGAUUUCACACAGGUGUUGCAUGGCUGUCGUCAGCUCGUGUCGUGAGAUGUUGGGUUAAGUCCCGCAACGAGCGUAACCCUCAUCCUUAGUUACCAUCAGAUAAUGCUGGGGACUUUAAGGAAACUGCUAGUGAUAAACUGGAGGAAGGUGGGGAUGAUGUCAAGUCAUCAUGGCCCUUAUGGAGUGGGCUACACACGUGCUACAAUGGUGGCUACAAUGGGCUGCAAAGUCGCGAGGCUGAGCUAAUCUCUUAAAAGCCAUCUCAGUUCGGAUUGUACUCUGCAACUCGAGUGCAUGAAGUUGGAAUCGCUAGUAAUCGUGGAUCAGCAUGCCACGGUGAAUACGUUCUCGGGUCUUGUACACACUGCCCGUCACG
rnacentral:rRNA from 1 species